UACAGAGGUCUCAAGCGUUGUCCGGAAUCAUUGGGCGUAGAGAACGUGUAGGCGGCCAGAUAAGUCCGCUGUGAAAUCUCGAGGCUCAACUUCGAGCUGUCGGUGGAAACUGUCUGGCUAGAGUCCGGAAGAGGAGAAUGGAAUUCCUGGUGUAGCGGUGAAAUGCGCAGAUAUCAGGAAGAACACCCGUGGCGAAGGCGGUUCUCUGGGACGGUACUGACGCUGAGACGCGAAAGCGUGGGGAGCGAACAGG
rnacentral:rRNA from 1 species